rnacentral:misc_RNA from 1 species
AUUUAACUUUGUAAACGCGGAGGUAUUUCCUUUAUUAAGCAUUUCUUGAACCUGAUGAUUCUAGCCGCAUACCAUGGUAAGCGCGGGUACAGUUCAUAAUGUCUAAUGACACAAUAUUAGAAGGAACUGCCAUCAUUUGGUUGCAGCUCAGGUUAGGUAAGAACAUACUCAGGAACAACCCGAAAUCGGAUUAAAAGUGCAAUGUAAGUUGAAGAUGCACACAUGACCCAAAAGGCUGAAAGUAGUAAGAUGGACUGGGAAACAUCCUAUAGCGACAUGGAGAAACAAACAGAUGUACCUAAACCAAAACAUUAUGCACCAAAGAAAAUACUGGACCCCAAACCAAGGCCAGUGCGACAAUCUCAGGUUGCAGUAACUAAAACAAUAUAUGGACGUUCUGGUGAAGAGGGAUCUAAAGAAAAUGAAGAAGAGUGGCCAGUUGUGGUGGCCCUGGAUUUUGGAACAACAUAUUCCGGAUAUGCCUUUUGGAGAAAAGAAAAUCCUUCAGAAAUUACCACAGGGAAAUGGAACACUGGUUCAAAGGGAGUGUUGGAAUCAUUGAAAACUCCAACAUCAUUGCUUUUGAACCAAAAUAACGAAGUUAUAGAAUUUGGUUAUAAAGCAGAGAAAAUCUUCAAGGAAUUGGCUGAAGACGAAGAUGACAAAGGGUAUAGAUAUUUCCGCCAGUUCAAAAUGAUGCUUCACAAUGAAUCAUUACUUGAUGAAAAAAAGUCGAUAUCAGAUCACUUGAAGAGACCUAUAGAGGCACUAGAAGUGUUUUCUUUAUCCAUUCGAGACCUUAGGGAUGAAUGUUUUAGAGAUUUUGAUAAUAAAAGAAUAAAAGUUGACCCUGACGAAAUACUAUGGAUUCUGACCGUACCAGCAAUAUGGGGUGACUCUGCAAAACAAUUCAUGAGAAAAGCUGCAGAAAAGGCGGGCAUUCCAUCAGAUCAACUGAAACUCGCUUUGUAGCCAGAGGCAGCAGCUAUCUAUGUGAUGAAAGAAGCUAAAACAGUUUUUGGAAAAGACACUGUUACAACAUUUAAUCCUGGUACCAAAUUCAUGGUGGCUGAUCUUGGUGGUGGGACAGCAGAUUUAACAGUUCUGGAGGUAAACAAAGACAGAAAGAUGAAACAGUUGCACCAAUCCGCUGGAGGGGCAUGGGGUGGAAAUUUGAUAAACAAAAAAAUAUGGGAAAUCAUGGCAGAAAUAUUUGGAAGCCAUGUUAUUGAAGACUUCAAAAAGCUGACAUCAGAUUUCAUGGAAAUGGAAUCCAUCAUUGAGCUCAAGAAAAGAGAUGUCACUAUUGGAAGUAAACUUGAAUUACCAAUUUUUCCAUCUCUCUCUGGCCUUUGCAAACAGGAUUAUAGAACAUUGAUUAAAAAUUCUAAAUAUGGUAAUUCUGUUAAAGCACGUACAGGGAAGUUGCGUUUUGAACCUGAUAUGGUUCAGAAAAUAUUUGACCUGACUUUCACCAACUUAUUUACCGUCGUUGAGAAAGUUUUGAAGCAUGAAAACGCAGUGGGUGUAAACGACAUAAUUCUUGUUGGUGGAUUUGCACAGGCAGAUAUCAUUGUUAAGCAGUUUGAGGAGAAGUUCUCCGGAUACAAUAUUAUCAUUCCCACAGACCCAGUUCUUGCUGUCCUAAAAGGAGCAGUGAUGUUUGGACAAGACACUGACAUUAUUUCAUCUAGAAUAACUGCACACACCUAUGGUUUUGAUGUCAUGCGAUAUUUUAUGGAUGGGGAUCUCAAAAGCAAAGAGAGAAAGAUUGAUAACACCAGUUAUUGUGUUGAAGUAUUUGAGAUACUGGUGGCCAUUGGAGAAUCAGUUGAUGUUGGAAAAACAGUCGAAAAAGAGGUUUUUGCAUCAUCAAAGGAAAUGAAAUUGAUGGUUUUGAAAUUCUAUCUAUCAGAAAUCAAAAAUCCAAAAUAUGUUACCGAUCCUGGUUGUAAGUGUAUUGGUAAACUAUCGGUGGAAAUGCCAGAUCUAAGUGGCGGAACAGAAAGAUCAGUGAUGGUGUCGAUCAAAUUUGGUGAAACUGAAAUCACUGUUUGCGGUGUGGACAAGACAACCGGGAAAAAACAAGAAACCGUGCUCGAUUUAUUGGGAAACAUUAAAUGAGAGCAAACAUGUUUUGACAAUAUAAAAAGGAAAACUUAAACAAGAAACGAGCAUUUGUUGCACAAUAUUUUAUUCAAAUAAAGGAAAUUUUAUGGU